ensembl:lncRNA
CUCCAUCGCUCGUGGCUUCACUGAGGCAGCGUUGACCCUCCACAGGUCUCUCCGUGGGGCCUUCCCUCCGGGCACCACCUUCCCAUGUGGGACUUCACCCAGGGAAGAGGACUCCCCAGAGAGGACCUUCUUCUCUCGGCCCCCGCUGCGGGAGAAGCUGAGCCGUCACUCUGGUGUUGUUGCUGGAGCUGGUUCCUUGUUGACCAUGGACCCCGGGUCUCUGGGCUCUGGCCCAGGUUCCAGCCCGCAUGGCCCAGAUGUACAACGGGUUGAGUCCCUGACCGACACCCUGCCUUCGCCGGUGAUCGAUCACAGCCACUCAGCGACGCUUGUGGCUUCCCAGCUGCAGCCUCAGCCACGAGCCCUCCAGUCCGGGCUCUGGCUGAAGGCCCUGCACCUCCUCCUGGCCCUGAAGGGGCUUGUCUGCUCCUUCCCGUGGGUCCAGCCGGUGCUGCAGCUCCAGAGAAGCCUGUUGAGGAGCUCUGGAUCCGCCACACAGGACCUGCUGGCUCUCCUGGCCUCCAUCGCUCGUGGCUUCACUGAGGCAGCGUUGACCCUCCAAAGGUCUCUCCGUGGGGCCUUCCCUCCGGGCACCACCUUCCCAUGUGGGACUUCACCCAGGGAAGAGGACUCCACAGAGAGGACCUUCUUCUCUCGGCCCCCGCUGCGGGAGAAGCUGAGCCGUCACUCUGGUGUUGUUGCUGGAGCUGGUUCCUUGUUGACCAUGGACCCCGGGUCUCUGGGCUCCGGCCCAGGUUCCAGCCCGCAUGGCCCAGAUGUACAACGAGUUGAGUCCCUGUCCGACACCCUGCCUUCGCCGGUGAUCG